rnacentral:rRNA from 1 species
GUCCACGCCGUAAACGAUGAUAACUAGCUGUCCGGGCACUUGGUGCCUGGGUGGCGCAGCUAACGCAUUAAGUUAUCCGCCUGGGGAGUACGGUCGCAAGAUUAAAACUCAAAGGAAUUGACGGGUGCCUGCACAAGCGGUGGAGCAUGUUGUUUAAUUCGAAGCAACGCGCAGAACCUUACCAGCGUUUGACAUGCCUAGUUUGGUUUCCAGAGAUGGAUUCCUUCAGUUCGGCUGGCUAGGACACAGGUGCUGCAUGGCUGUCGU